AGAAUGUGGUGUUUCUCGGACUUCUAAUCCGUUGGUCACAGGUUCGAAUCCCGUACGGUCUACCA
rnacentral:tRNA from 1 species